rnacentral:lncRNA from 1 species
AUAUAUAUAUAUAUACAUAUAUAAUUUUUUUUUUAUCUAUUGAAAAAUAUUUCAAUUGAUUUUGGGAAUAUAUUAUAUUUACUUAUUUGUUCAUUUUGUUCACUUUGUUCACUUUGUUCAUUUUGUUCACUUUGUUCAUUUUGUUCAUUUUGUUCAUUUUGUUCAUUUUGUUCAUUUUGUUCAUUUUGUUCAUUUUGUUUGUUCGUUUGUUCGCUUGUUCGUUUGUUCUUCCAUUCUUUCCUCAUUUCGUCAUUUCGUCAUUUCGUCAUUUUGUCAUUUCGUUUUUUCGUCCUUUCGUCAUUUCGUUUUUUCGUCCUUUCGUCAUUUCGUUUAUUUUUUUAUUUGCUUGGGCGUUCAUUAGUUUUUGACCUUUUAUUUAUUUUUUUUUUAAUAUUACAAAGAUGGAAAAGGUAAUUACUAUGCGAGAGAUAAUAACGAAUACUAGAAAAAUAAAAUUACAUGAGAAUUUCUUAGAAGACUGUAAUUUAAAAGAUAUAUUUUACAACGGAUUAGAAACUAUCAAUUGUGGUUAUAAUGAUUAUGUGAAUAUAAAGGCAUGGCUUUUUGUUAUAUCCGAAAAGUUAUUUUCAAGUGAUUCAGAAGAAUUAGCAUACGUUGCAUGUGAUGCAUUAAAAUUGCUACUAUGUAAUACUAAAUUUUUAAAUGUUAUCGUAUAUAAAUUAUUAAAAAAAAAUUUAGAAAAAUAUAUAUUAAGAAUAAUGGGUAUAUGUUGUUUAACUGUUGCUUCACGAAUGCAACAAAUAAAUGAAACAACUUGUUUUAAAGAGAUUUUAGAAAUAUCAUAUUUAAAAGAUAAAUUAAAUGAAUAUAACAUAAGGCAAAUUGAAAUGGAUGUUUUUGUAUCUUUAGCACAUUCGGGUUUUUGUUUUGAAAAAAUCAUAACUCCAGUUAAUGAAUUAAAUCAAAUUGCACAAUUUUUAGAAGCAUAUGAAAGUUUAUUUGAGAAUGGAGAUUUUGCUUUAUUCAAGUCUUCAAGCAUUUUAAUGUUAAAAAUUAUUUAUUGUAUGGUCCCAGUAUUUAAUAUGAACAUAUAUAAUUAUUCAAUUGUUAAUUAUGUUUUAAAAUUAUUUAUAAAAAAUAAUGAUGCAUAUAAUUAUGUAUUCCAAAUUUUAAAAAAUCAUUACAGUGAUAAAGAAAUUAUUGAUUUAUCAAACUUUCAAAAUCAUAUGUUUAAUAUAAUUAAUGCAUUUAAAAAUACCGACAUAUUUG